GUCCACAUAGGAUGCCACAUAGAUAAUUCAGUUCAUGGUUUUUUGACACGUGUCCAACAGGAAAAUAGCAGCGUUUCAUUAAAAUUUAACAUCUUGGUCUCAUCCAACCCUACGGCUGCGACGAAGAACGUGGAAACGGCUGUAUUCAUAAGCAGAGGAGGAGAAGAGGCUUCGAUGGACGACGAAUCAUAUAUACUCCAUAUGCAUAUGGCUCAUCUGCCGUUGCGUCUCUGGCUUCACCGAUGCGUCUCCGGUUUCGCCGCUGCGUCUCCAAAUUAUCCCUCUUAGAUGAAUCUCCAAAGCGUCACGAAAACUUAACCGAAGGCGUCAAUCUUAAACCUGUUUCCUUCAUGUCUCAGUUCCAUAGAUCACGACCUGAUUGUAAUUUAUGCGCUUCUUGGGUUAGGUUCUAUCUCUGUGAGUUUUGUUUCUAACUCACAUUUAGAUUUGUAAAAUUGAUGUUUCAAUGAAAAUUUUGUUUUGUUCUUAGUGCAACAAGCGAACCUGGAACCAUUGCUUUUAUUUCAUUUUGAAUGGUGCUUGAUUUGUGAUUUGACGAGUGAUUAGAUAAAAGGAUGAAUGCUUUAAUCACUUUGUGUUUCCAUGGUCAUAUGUUUCUGCAAACGAAGAAGUAUUGUGUACUACUUUAUAUUAAGGAGAAAAUUUUGAAGAAGCUAUCUAAGCAGCAGGUUUGCGUGUGUGGACCGUGGUCAGACAGAGAAUAGCUGUUGUAGUCAGACAGAGAAUAUAUGUUGUGUGAAGUGUCCAUUCUGUGAGUGGUUUGCGUGUGUGGACCGUAAUGUUCCUUGACGUGAAUCUAUGAGCAGUGAAGAGUUUCAGAUUCUUCAGGCUCAUAAAAUAUAUCAAGCUGAUAUCAUAUUGCAUCGCUUGGCUAGGUAGAAGAGGCAGAGACGGUGUCAGCAAUGUCGUGUAAUGAUUUUAAUUUCUCAAGGCUGCAACCAUGACUUGCCGUUUUGCUACUGUUGUGGAGUGGAGUACAGUGAAGGACAACAGAGUUGCACAUGUGCUUUGUGGUGGAUUGUUGCAGGAAGUUUACAGAGGAAAGCAAAAUACGGUAUGCUUGGAGCAAAUACGCUGAGCUAGAGAGGUCUCUUGCUGAGACUGAACUAGCUAGAACUAUCUUUGAGCUUGCAAUCUCUCAGUCAGCACUUGACAUGCCCUAACUGCUAUGGAAGACGUAUAUAGGUUUUGAGAUAUCAGAAGGAGAAUCAGAGAGGACGUGAGCUUUAUAUGAGCGACUAUAGGACCACACAAGGCAUUACAAGGUGUGGCGGUGUAGGUUAGUUUUGCAAAGUUUGAAGCUUAUGCUGCGGAUCAAGAAGAAGACAAGGAAGAAGAAGACAAGGAAGAGGAAGACCAAGAAGAAAUAGUUGCUAUUGAACUAAAAAAAGAGUGCAUCAGACGUGCCUGAGCUCUUUUCGAGAGAGCCAACAGCUACUACAAAGACUCUGCACCAGAGUUGAAAGAAGAAUGAGCUACACUAUUGGAAGACUGGCUUAACAUGUAGACCAACUUUGGUAAUCUCGAGGAUGUGAGUGUGGUACAAUCUAAUCUCCCGAAGAAUCCCAAGAAGAAAAAAAACAACCACUAGAGAAGAUGGGUCUACAGAGUAUGAAGAAUACAUUGAUUACCUAUAUCCAGAAGAAUCGCAGACAACAAAUCUCAAGAUUCUUGAAGCUGCUUACAAGUGGAAGAAGCAGAAACUUGCAGCUUCUGAGGAGGAUUACGAUUAUUACCAAGUUUCUUUUGAGUUAUAUCAAAACUGUGAGUUGAUAUUUUUUGGAUUGUGUUAAAACUCACUGUUAUUGUUGUUUGUUUAUUUUGGCAUUAGACCUUUAGGUUUGUGUUCUCUGUACAUCGCCAUUGUUGUUAUGUUAUAGUCACUAACAUGUAUCUAACAAUUGCUUAAACUUUUGGUUUGUCCUCCAUGGUGAUUUGAAUAAUGCUGAUUUUGGAAUA